UCCUGUGUGACUAACCGGCGCUUCUGUUUUGACAGACCCCACUGAAGUGUGCACGGUAGGAGUACAGCCCUACCUAUAGAAGGCAUGUAGGUGUCACAAUUGCUUUGAGAAAAGUCAACAAGCCAUCAGCUCUGUUCUGUCUCUAUCUCUAAACAAAACUCUAAAUCCGGAUCACAUCUUGUGCCACUGUAUAAAAGAAGACCACAGAGCACUAGUAAAUGAACAGACUCUAAUAAUUAAACCAGAAUUUUGUUGGACAUUAUGUGAGUUUGCUGGUAUAGUCUAGUUUCCCUAAUGUAUGUGUGAUUUUAAACAAGGAAGAAGAAAAAGAAGAAGAAGAAACACACA